UACGUAGGGGGCGAGCGUUGUCCGGAGUUACUGGGCGUAAAGGGCGUGCAGGCGGUGCGGUAAGUUUAGCGUGACAGUCUCCGGCUUAACUGGAGAAGGCCGCUGAAAACUGCUGGACUUGAGGGCCAGAAGAGGGACAUAGAAGUUCCGGGUGGAGUGGUGAAAUGCGUAGAUAUCCGGAGGAAUACCAAAGGCGAAGGCAGUGUCCUGGCUGGCAACUGACGCUGAGGCGCGAAAGCUAGGGGAGCGAACAGG
rnacentral:rRNA from 1 species